UACGUAGGGUGCGAGCGUUGUCCGGAAUUACUGGGCGUAAAGAGCUCGUAGGUGGUUUGUCGCGUUGUCCGUGAAAACUCACAGCUCAACUGUGGGCGUGCGGGCGAUACGGGCAGACUGGAGUACUGCAGGGGAGACUGGAAUUCCUGGUGUAGCGGUGGAAUGCGCAGAUAUCGAGAGGAACACCUGCGGCGAAGGCGGGUUGCUGGGCUGACACUGACGCUGAUGCGCGAAAGCUAGGGGAGCGAACGGG
rnacentral:rRNA from 1 species